AAGUAGGUUAAUGAUGCAGCUAUAGACAACCCCAUCUUAUGCAUGUUAUGAGAAGUUAAAAGUGUUUAACAACUACUCCAGGCUUUUUCUUUGCAAGAAGGGAUAUUGAUAGAGGGAAGGAGAUCAGAUAUGACUAUGGUGAUCCCAUGCCCAAUGGACAAUCUUCCUUGGAGUUCAUCACUCAUCAGGAAGCAUUUUGGAGGCAAACCCUGUUACAGCAUUUCUACAUGUUCCACAGAUUGUACAGACUAGUCAGGACCUUGUAAAUUCACAUGUUCAACAGCUUAGGCAAUUUAGUACAGAGUGGAUUAUUGAGGCAGACCCUGAUGGAAAACUUGCACAUGUUCCACAAACCAGUGAAGACCAUUUUGCAGAAUAUAAACUUUUUCCGCAGAUAAGCCAAGACCCUAAUGGUGUUCAUGUGUGUGUGGUUAAUUAUUUGCUCUGAAGCUGAUAUGUGGAUUGAAUAUAAAACUGUCUUUUUCUACAGUUAAGUCCAUCUUAAUC